UUUAAGAAAUUAAUUUAAAGUCUGACCUGCCCACUGAAAUUUUUAAAUGGCCGCAGUAUUUUAACUGUGCGAAGGUAGCAUAAUCAUUAGUCUUUUAAUUGAAGGCUGGAAUGAAUGGUUGGAUGAGAUAUUAACUGUUUCAAUUAAAUUUAUAAUAAAAUUUUAUUUUUUAGUGAAAAAGCUAAAAUUUAUUUAAAAGACGAGAAGACCCUAUAAAUCUUUAUAUUAUAUAAAUUUUAAUUAUUUAGAUAAAUUAAAUUAUUAUUUAAAAAAUAUUUUAUUGGGGUGAUAUUAAAAUUUAAUAAACUUUUAAUUUAAAAUUUAAACAUUAAUUAAUGAAUUAAUGAUCCAUAAUUUAUGAUUAAAAAAUUAAGUUACUUUAGGGAUAACAGCGUAAUUUUUUUAGAGAGUUCAUAUUUAUAAAAA
rnacentral:rRNA from 1 species